rnacentral:rRNA from 1 species
AACGAACGCUGGCGGCAUGCCUAACACAUGCAAGUCGAACGAGACCUUCGGGUCUAGUGGCGCACGGGUGCGUAACGCGUGGGAACCUGCCCUUAGGUUCGGAAUAACUCCCCGAAAGGGGUGCUAAUACCGGAUAAUGUCUUCGGACCAAAGAUUUAUCGCCUUUGGAUGGGCCCGCGUUGGAUUAGCUAGUUGGUAGGGUAAAAGCCUACCAAGGCGACGAUCCAUAGCUGGUCUGAGAGGAUGAUCAGCCACACUGGGACUGAGACACGGCCCAGACUCCUACGGGAGGCAGCAGUGGGGAAUAUUGGACUAUGGGCGAGAGCCUGAUCCAGCAAUGCCGCGUGAGUGAUAAAGGCCGUAGGGUUGUAAAGCUCUUUUACCCGGGAUGAUAAUGACAGUACCGGGAGAAUAAGCUCCGGCUAACUCCGUG